UUAAGCUAUAAAGAGCAUAGGGUGGAUGCCUAGGCACUGAGAGCCGACGAAAGACGUGAUAAGCUGCGAUAAGCUGCGGUAAGGAGCAAAUAUCCAUUGACCCGCAGAUUUCUGAAUGGGGAAACCUACGCAAGAAGACCUUGCGUACUCAUACAUGAAUACAUAGUGUAUGAGAGGGAACCCGGGGAACUGAAACAUCUAAGUACCCGGAGGAAGAGAAAGAAACAUCGAUUUCCUGAGUAGCGGCGAGCGAAAGGGAAAGAGCCCAAACCAGAGGAUUUAUCCACUGGGGUUAGGACUGCAUAAUUGAUCUGCAAUUGAUAGGAGAACGGUCUGGGAAGUCCGGCGAGAAAGCGUGAAAGCCGCGUAUCCGAAAUCGAAAGCAGCAAGGCAGGAUCCAGAGUACCACGAGACACGAGAAACCUUGUGGGAAUGAGCGGAGACCACUCCGUAAGGCUAAAUACUACUCAGUGACCGAUAGCGCAUAGUACUGUGAAGGAAAGGUGAAAAGGACCCCGGGAGGGGAGUGAAAGAGAACCUGAAACCCUGUGUUUACAAGCUGUCGAAGCACGCAAGUGCGACGGCGUACUUUUUGUAGAACGGUCCGGCGAGUUAUGAUGAGUGGUAAGGUUAAGGACUUAAGGUCCGGAGCCGAAGCGAAAGCGAGUGUUAAAAGCACGGUUGAAUCGCUUAUCAUAGACCCGAAACCGGGUGAUCUAUCCAUGUCCAGGUUGAAGCUGCCGUAAGAGGUAGUGGAGGACCGAACACACAUCCGUUGAAAAGGGUGGUGAUGAGGUGUGGAUAGGGGAGAAAUUCCAAUCGAACCCGGAGAUAGCUGGUUCUCCUCGAAAUAGCUUUAGGGCUAGCCUCUGGUUAGUCUGCCGCAGGUAGAGCACUGAAUUUCCUAGGGGGCGUCAAAGCCUACCGAAGAAUAUCAAACUGCGAAUGGCGGACAGAUGAUGCCAGGGAGUCAGACUGCACGAGAUAAGUUGGGUGGUCAAAAGGGAAAGAGCCCAGACCUACAGCUAAGGUCCCAAAGUGUGUGUUAAGUGGAAAAGGAUGUGGGAUUUCGAAGACAACUAGGAUGUUGGCUCAGAAGCAGCCACACAUUAAAAGAGUGCGUAAUAGCUCACUAGUCGAGAGGUCCUGCGCCGAAAAUGUCCGGGGCUAAAACACAACACCGAAGCUUAGGAAUUCUAAUGAAUUGGUAGAGGAGCAUUGAAGACGGAACGAAGCCAUACCGGAAGGAAUGGUGGACUGUCUUGAAGAGAGAAUGCCGGAAUGAGUAGCGAGAUUGAAGUGAGAAUCUUCAAGGCCGAAUAUCUAAGGUUUCCAGGGUAAAGCUGAUCUGCCCUGGGUAAGUCGGGGCCUAAGGCAAGGUCGAAAGACGUAGUCGAUGGAUAACAGGUUGAAAUUCCUGUACUGCAUCAAAUCAGAAAUGUGGGGACACAUGAGGGAAGCAUGAGCCGGAAAAGGAAAGUCCGGUACAAGCGCAGCAGAGGACAGAUAGGCAAAUCCGUCUGUCAACUCGAGGGCGCGAUGUGGAGCGAACCAAAGUAGCGAAGCAUGUGGAGCUUGUGUCGAGAAAAGCCGCUAUAGUGUUUGAUGUACCCGUACCGUAAACCGACACAGGUGGAUGAGGAGAGAAUCCUAAGGCCGGCGGGAGAAGCAUUGUUAAGGAACUCGGCAAAAUGACCCCGUAACUUCGGGAGAAGGGGUGCUCCAGAGAUGGAGCCGCAGAGAACUGGCCCAAGCAACUGUUUAGCAAAAACACAGGUCUAUGCAAAACCGAAAGGUGAGGUAUAUGGGCUGACGCCUGCCCGGUGCUGGAAGGUUAAGAGGAGAUGUUAGCCGCAAGGUGAAGCAUUGAAUUUAAGCCCCAGUAAACGGCGGCCGUAACUAUAACGGUCCUAAGGUAGCGAAAUUCCUUGUCGGGUAAGUUCCGACCC
rnacentral:rRNA from 1 species